rnacentral:rRNA from 1 species
CCUACGGGAGGCAGCAGUGAGGGAUAUUGGUCAAUGGACGAGAGUCUGAACCAGCGAAGUAGCGUGAAGGAUGGCGGCCCUAUGGGUUGUAAACUUCUUUUAUAUGGGAAUAAAAUGUUGCACGUGUGGGAUUUUGUAUGUACCAUAUGAAUAAGGAUCGGCUAACUCCGUGCCAGCAGCCGCGGUAAUACGGAGGAUCCGAGCGUUAUCCGGAUUGAUUGGGGUUAAAGGGAGCGUAGGUGGAUUGUUAAGGCAGUUGUGAAAGUUUGCGGCUCAACCGUAAAAUUGCAGUUGAAACUGGAAGUCUUGAGUACAGGAGAGGUGGGCGGAAUUCGUGGUGUAGCGGUGAAAUGCUUAGAUAUCACGAAGAACUCCGAUUGCGAAGGCAGUUCACUGGACUGCAACUGACACUGAGGCUCGAAAGUGUGGGUAUCAAACAGGAUUAGAUACCCUUGUAGUC